rnacentral:lncRNA from 1 species
AUAAUGAAGGGCCAAAGGGUAGUGCCCUCCUGAUUACAUGGAGAUAAAAUGAAUUACAAAAAAGAGAAGCAAAAGGGAAAUGAGCUACCCAUUGAUUCUUUCCAAUUAAUUAUGUAAUCUAGUAAUAUAGUAACUAGAUACGCUACUUCAGGAGGUUGGUCUCACAUACUUCCAUUGUCGAUUUCUCCAAAGGGUGACAACUGACAACAACACUUCUUGUGACAUUCCGGUUGGAAGGAGAGACCGAUGUCCUUAAUCACAUCCUUAGAAACUACUUCAUCAGGCAUUCAUGCCUAAGGGUGGGUUGUC